rnacentral:lncRNA from 1 species
AUGAUCACAGAGUCGUUGUUCAAAUGGAAAUAGAAUCUUAAGAGCGAUUUCUGAUGCUGUGAUCCAUAAAGGUAGUUGAUCAAAUCUGGAGGCAACUCAUCGAUCAUGAAGUUAGGGCCGGGCAACAUCAAUUCAGAGUCAUCAUAUUCAUUGACAUGCUUCAAAAGCAUGUCGACAAGGUUCAAAUUUUUCUGAUGAAGCAUGUUAAGAUAAUUUUUUAGUUGUUCCAUCGUACUAGCAAUAUCAGUAUUAGCUAGUUGUGGCGAAUCUACUUCAAUAAUUACUGAAUUUUCAUCUUGGAAUUCACAAAAUCCAAUUUCUUCUACAGAAGAAAAGGAAGAACGAAAAAUAAUAAGGGAGUAAAUCAAACCUGCUCCAAUAAUGAAUAACUGGAAUUUAAUCUUCAUGAGUAACACAGUUAGACAUCCAAGAAAAAAGUAAAGAAGAUCCACUUCGAAUCCACAAUGAGAUUGCCUCGACAAACUCAGUGACAUGAUAGCAAAGGCAGCACAAGAAAUGAGGC